CUAUAUCACAUUGAAACACUGGUUCUCAUAUGAUCACCAAAGUUAAGCAAUGCUGAACCUGGUCAGUACCUAGAUGAGUGACUGCUUGGGGAUAUCAGGUGCU